rnacentral:rRNA from 1 species
AACGAACGCUGGCGGCAGGCUUAACACAUGCAAGUCGAGCGCCCCGCAAGGGGAGCGGCAGACGGGUGAGUAACGCGUGGGAAUCUACCGUGCCCUACGGAAUAGCUCCGGGAAACUGGAAUUAAUACCGUAUACGCCCUUCGGGGGAAAGAUUUAUCGGGGUACGAUGAGCCCGCGUUGGAUUAGCUGGUUGGUGGGGUAAAGGCCUACCAAGGCGACGAUCCAUAGCUGGUCUGAGAGGAUGAUCAGCCACAUUGGGACUGAGACACGGACCAGACUCUUACGGGAGGCAGCAGUGGGGAAUAUUGGACAAUGGGCGCAAGCCUGAUCCAGCCAUGCCGCGUGAGUGAUGAAGGCCCUAGGGUUGUAAAGCUCUUUCACCGGUGAAGAUAAUGACGGUAACCGGAGAAGAAGCCCCGGCUAACUUCGUGCCAGCCGCCGCAGUAACAC